rnacentral:lncRNA from 1 species
UGGAAAGGGGCCGGGACAGCCCACCCCCGGCGCGCGCCCAUAGGCCGGCUGUGAGCCCCGCCUCGUGCCGAUUGGUUGUAAAUGGCUACUGAGUUAUUUCAUUGGCGCCCCCACGCACCGGUUGGCGCAGGUUCCUGAGACCCGCCUCUCCUCGGAUUCAGAAUUCCCAGCUUAACAGGGAGCCGCAGACAGGAAGAAUGGAGGCUGCUGUUCUCAGUCUGAUUAGCUCUGAGCUGACAUCUGCUUGACAUCUGCUGCCAAUCCUCCUCUUUUUGCUGAUGAAGACUGGCCCUGAGCUAACAUCCAUGCCUAUCUUCCUCUACGUUAUAUGUGGGAUGCCUACCACAGCAUGGCUUGCCAAGUGGUGCCAUGUCCGCACCCGGGAUCCAAACUGGUGAACCCUGGGCCACUGAA